CUGCUGCACAAUCUUGACAGAACAACAACGUAAAAAGAUGAAACAUGAGAAACUUGAAUAGAAAGAAUGAUGGAAUCUGACGGGAUGAUUGAAUUCGUGUUUCUCUUUUCACUUCAUAAAUUUCUAUAACAACAACUUUGUCUAAACGAAUCAACCACUAUAAUCACUUGGCUCUUGAAAACUCUCGUUUGUUUAAAUUUAUUUAUUUUUUAUUUUUUUUUGGUUUUGAUUCUCAUUACUUUUUGACAUUCUUAAUUUAUACUUUGUUCUGUGCAGUUUUUUGUGUUUAUUUAGUGUUUGAUUAUUGGUGAGAUUGUUGGAGCGACUGUUGAGUUCAUGCCUGUUUGCAUUGUGGUCGUUGAGGGCAAAUGCUUUGUUUUGAACAGAAAAACAGAAGACAUGAAUCUUAGUGAUUGGCUGCUUGUUAUGGCAUCAAUUUGAGAUCAAUAAGUUACCGCAAAGGCAACGGUUUCCAAUGCACAACAUAACGGAUUUUUGUCCCUUCUAUUGUGCUUCUUUCUCCAUUAUACACAAACAUCAUUUUUUUUCUUCAAUUGUGUUAUAGGCUUAUCCUCAUUUUUCUACUUCAUUAUUUUAAAGGGAGAAACAUGCGGUGGAGGAGUCCCAUAGACAAUUAACGUAUUUUUCAAUUAAUCUGGAAGAGAUUUUUGCCUACUACAACAUUAAAAAAAAAUCAAUGUAAAGGAAGAACAAAAAAAGCAACAACCUAACUCGGUGUGUGGUGAUAUCUAUUUUGUCAAAUACUCCAAUUCUAUGUAUUUUCUUUCUGACUAUACGGUCUCUUAUGGUGUGUUUGCAACAGACUUUUGUGUUCUAGCUUUUGUAGUUUUUAAAGGUACUAAAACUGAAUUAUAUUUCUUUUGUUCAUAUUAAUUUCAUACUAAUUUUUACUCGAUCCACAACACACAUGCAGGAAAUGGGCAAUAGCACAACACAUCCUAUUCUUCAACAUGAACUAUGAUGACAUCCUAUUCUUUGGUUUAAUUGUUUUUAUAUUCUUGGUAAUAAAAUGGGCAAGAGCAAUAUUGAUCCAUUGAUGAAGUCAAAGAUGCAUCUAAAUUUAGUUUUUCCGAUUAAUCUAUUUUAUUUUAUUUUUUAAAUUUACAUCUAUAGAUGUCUCCGUGUUGUGUUCAAUGCAUGUGUUUGUGCUCAUAGGGAAUAUCCUAUAACCAUGUCAUAUAUGUGGAUGAUUUUUAGUUUGAAUUUCUCUCAUAUCAUUAUCAUCUGCUAAUUUUAUCUCUUUAAUAAUGGCUAUUUUUUUUUUCUUGUUUCUAUAUGAAGCAGUCCACAAGAUCAUGGAAGGGGAUGAGUGGAGGUGCUGCUAUCAUCCAAGAUAGACAUAGAGGUUUCCUUAUUGAUUUCAAUGUAUGCUAAAAGAACUGUAUUGUACCAAUUAUCAAGGGUGUUUUGUUCAUUUUUUCAUUCUGUUCUUUGUUUAAUCUUCUUAUUUUAUUCUAACUAAUAUUUCAAAAACAAUGUAAUUAAAAGCGGUAUAUAAACAUGAGAGGUAUUAGGGUAUUUUGAGGAAUGGUCCGAAACAGUGAGAUAACAAAAAUAGGAAUAAAUAAGGAAUAUCAACAGAGCAUCGCAACAAAGUUUUUUAACAGGAAAAUUGAGAUUGACGUAUGUGGUGAAGGCAGCAGUACUGUGACAGCCGCAUAGAGUCGGUGUGGAAAUUGGUCUUUCGCCUUCGAGAUAGAGAAAUGAAAAAAGGGGAAGGAUGGUGGUAUCCUAGGCUGCCAGCGAAAAGGAGCAAUAUGGUUGAUUUGAAGACAAAGGAGGCAUCAUUAAUUGUUAGUACAACGGGUUAUCACAGCGUCGACG
rnacentral:lncRNA from 1 species